AAAACGAGAUAAUUCCACGUUACAAAACCCCCAAUAAAAAGAAAAUGAGAUAUUUUCCGUUGUUAGCUCUAAAAUAAGGAUGAUGUAAAACCCCUAAAGCCUAAAACCCUAAACUCACCACCAACAAACAACCCUUCUUCUUCUUCGUUCUUCUUCAAAUUAUUUUAUGACGUUAAAAAUGGCGACUAUGCAAAACCUCAAUUAAACUUCACAAUUAUUAUCUUCUUCAUUGAAUUUCUUCAACUUUAAUGGCCGCUCAAUUUCAUCAUAACAAUGGAGCAUUCACUCUCUCUCCUACAACCAGUCUCAAUGACUUCGACGAAGACGACGAUGUUGGAUAUACUUUGUUCAGGAAGAAUCCUCUUCAAAUUCAAACUUUGGAGUAUUUGUACAUUGAUGAUAAAAACCCGACGCGGAGUAGACUGGAAGACUAUAGUUCAGCUUUAGGGCUGACUUAUGAGCAGGUGAGGAGAUGGUAUGUUGAGCGGCGUCGAAGAGAUAAUCCAGAUGCUGGCAGAAAUAUAGGAGUAAAUAGGUCUGUGCAGAGCACAGCAAAGGGGAAGAGUAAAAUGAAGAAAAAGAAGAAUUUGUCGAGUUUAGAGCUAGGAGAGCACGGGGAUUUUACAAUUAGACCAGGUCUAAUUCAAGAUAUGUUGUAUUCGUCAGAUCAUAUAUUUAAGAAGAUAUUCAGGAAAGAUGGUCCUCCCCUUGGUGUGGAGUUUGAUCCUCUUCCUGAAACAUCAUUUCAAGGCUGCAACGAUAUUCCAGAUAGAAGAUGUUGUGAGGUUGCAUGUCAAGGUGAACAAAGGGCCUUAAAAAGGAGGAAGGUGACAAAGUCAGCUGUUUUAGAGGCUGAGCAAUGGAAUCGAAUGAAAACUCCUAUGAAGAAGCACGGAAAGGGGAAAGGUCUGAUGUCAGACUUGCAGCUGGUGAAUUAUCUUGCUUCUUUUCGAGAUAAUGUAGGAGCAACCAAAAGAGGAAAGGUGCUUGCACGUAAAAAUAGUCAACCGGGAAAAACAUACGGCAUGGGCAAAGGAUUUAUGACUGCUUCACAGCUGGCGAAUCCUGAUUCCAAGAGGAGACCAUUGAGACGGAAAAUAGCUGCUCAGAGAAGGUCAGUGAACAAAGUGCAGGAAAAGAAGAAACCUAUUCCUCAACGUAGAAAGGUUGAUUCUAGUCAGAAAGAAACUCAGAAGGCACGCAAAGAUUGUUGCAAAAUUGCUUUGGAUUUAGCUAGCCAUGACGAAAAUCUCUGUUCAUUUCCAACAAAGGCAGAUGAUGAAGAGCUUGAGCUGAGGGAGCUCCAAGCUGGACCAAAUCCACUAACUUGUGGUGCUCACUUUGCUAAUGGUGGGAAGAUUGGAAAUAAUGGUUGUUCUCUUUGCAAAGGUCUUCUGCCUAAGUUCCCGCCUGAAUCUGUUAGAAUGAGAAAGCCGUUCCAUAUGCAACCUUGGAACUCUUCCUUGGAGCUUGAGAAGAAACUUUUUAAGGCUCUUCACUUUCUGUAUACUUAUGCUGUAAUGCUAGAUCUUUAUCCAUUUACCCUUGAUGAUUUUGCAAAGGCAUUUCAUGAUAAGGAUUCCUCAUUACUAGGGAAACUACAUGUAUGCCUCCUUGGACUGUUGCUGUCUGAUAUUCAAAAUGAGAUUUCUAAUGAGCUUUCCAUACAUUCAAAUAAAAACGGCAUGUUUCUGAAUUUGCUUCAUAUGACUGAGACACAGGAUUCUGUUGUGAACUUUUGGAAGACAUCUCUGAAUCCUUUGACAUGGACUGAUAUAUUGCGACAAGUCCUGAUUGCUGCUGGAUUUGGAUCAAGAGAUGGUAACCAAAGUAAAGGAUGCCUUACCAAGGAAACAGAUCACAUGGCCAAGUACGGAUUGCAGCCUGAUACAUUGAAGGGAAAACUUUUUAGCAUUUUGUUUGAGCAAGGGAACAGUGGAAUGAAGGUCACUGAGUUGGCAAAAUCUUCACAGAUUGUGGACUUGAAUCUGGGGAAAACAGAAGAUGAACUUGAAGAUUCAAUUUGCUCAAUAUUGGCUAGUGAUAUAACAUUAUUUGAAAAAAUAUCGUCUUCCACAUAUCGUCUACGUUUAGCAUCAAUCAUGAAGAAAGAUGAAGAUGCUCUGUCGGAUAACGAAGAUUGUGGAAGCAUUGAUGAUGAAUCCAGGCUUUCCAAUUCUCUUAGUAAUAAUGCAGACUGUGACUCUGGAAUAUCUUCUUCAAGGCCUAAUAUGGGUCAUCUGUCUCCUGAAAGUAAUCCAUUGAGUCUUUCCUCUGUAAUUGACGAAAGUCAUCCUGGGGAGUCAUGGCUGUUAGGUCUCAUGGAGGGAGAAUAUUCGGACCUAAGCAUUGAGGAGAAGCUGAAUGCCUUACUAGCUCUUAUUGAUCUUGUAAGGGCUGGAUCUAGCAUUAGGAUGGAGGAUCCGUCGGCAGUACUUGCAGAAUGUGUUCCAAGGAUUUAUCAGCAUGGAUCUGGAGGAAAAAUAAAGCGAUCUACAGUAAAGCGACCUAGCUUGCUUACCUCAUCCUUUGGCGAUGUUACAGAUAGCAGGCGUCUGUCUUCAGAUAAUUGUGCUGUUGAUUCAUCAGUGGUGUUAUCAACGGUUUGCAAAGAAGAUAGAUAUUCUAGCAUGAAAAAAGGCCUCAAUGGUGUAGGAAAUGGAGAUGCUCUACAUCCAAUUCAAACAAUUUUUUUGGGUUCUGAUCGCAGGUAUAACAGAUACUGGCUCUUCUUGGGUCCUUGUGAUGCUGAUGAUCCUGGACAUAAACAAAUCUAUGUUGAAUCUUCUGAAGAUGGUCAGUGGCAAGUGAUUGAUAGCGAAGAGGCUCUAUAUGGUUUGUUGGCUUCUUUGAAUGGUCAAGGUAGGAGAGAGGCAGCCCUGUUGGCAUCAUUGGAAAAGCGUAUGACAUUUCUUGCUGAAGAAAUGAUGAGCAGGGUACCAGCUGAUUUUAAUGUCAGCCAAUCAACACAAUCUGGUCUCUCUGAAAUAGAUAGGACCAAUGAAGAUAGCUUGUCACCCAUAUCUGAAAUAGAUAACCAUUCAUUGGGUGAGACUUCAUUUAAUGCUGUUACAUCAUCUGGUGCUGCACCUUUCAUAUUUGAGAAAACGGUAGAAGAGGAAAAAAAGAAAUAUGAACGCCUUCAAGCUUAUGACUCGUGGAUAUGGAACAACUUUUACUCCAAUCUUCAUGCUGUUAGACGUGGGAAGCGGUCAUUUUUUGAUUCAUGGACAAGAUGUGGAAGUUGUAAUGAUCUGUAUUGGCGAGAUGAGAGGCACUGUAAGGCAUGCCAUACAACAUUUGAGCUUGACUUUGAUCUUGAAGAAAAGUAUGCUAUCCAUGUGGCUAAAUGUCAUGCUCGUGAAGAUGCUGAUAUCUGCCCAAUGCAUAAAGUUUUACCAUCAAAGCUACAGGCUCUCAAAGCUGCAAUCCAUGUGAUUGAGAUGUUUAUGCCAGAAGGUGCGCUGAUUGGGGCAUGGAAAAAAUCUGCUUACAAGCUUUGGGUCAGGCGGCUCAGACGCACCUCUUCAUUACAUGAGCUUUUACAGGUUCUUGGUGAUUUUGUUGGUUCCCUUAAUGUGGAUUGGGUGCUGCAAUGCAAUGCCAUACACAAAUGUGAGUCUACAGUCGAAGAUUUUGUCACGCACUUUCAAAAUAUGCCCCAAACUUCAUCUGCUGUUGCACUAUGGCUGGUGAAAUUGGAUGCCUUUAUUGCUUUGCAGUUAGAUGAGAGAGUAGUUGGAACUGCUUAAGCACUAUUUGAUCGACACUCUCUCCCUCCUGAGUUGGGGUUGGGCAAAAGGUCAAUGGUGUGUAGGCAAUGGCAUAGGGGGCAGAAAAUCACCUUAAAUGAGGCCUUAAUUCUGGCCAGUAGUUAGCCCCAGUUGCGGUUUCAGCUGAUGACGACUGAGAUGUGCACUGCUGGGCCGGUAGAAGAUUUAAUUGUUCACUUUACAAGUGGCACUCAGAUCCAGAAAAGGCUAUGAUCUCUACGAGAGAACCCUUUUUGGAUAACAGCUCGGAGGCUUGGAAAGUUCGAAAAAAAAGGCUGGGAAUCUUGUACAGAACUAACAGAAGGGUUGCAGGUGCUCAUUCUUAUUAUUUUGAAUAUCUUGGGCAGGUUGGCUAAAGAGAUAGUAGUGUACAGUUAGAACUUUAGAAACUUGUGGCAAUGGCGUCAUGCCACCAUUCUCUUGUUGAAAUUGUUUAUAGGCAUUAGAAAGCAAGCAUCCAUACCCAUGAAAACCUUGUAGUACAGUGCUGUAAAGCAUACCAAAAUUUUGAGUAGAUACUGUUCUGAUUUGGGCAAUGUGAUAAUGCUGAUUUGGGCAAUGUAGACAUGUAGUAGGGAGUACAAUUCGUUUCAUAAUCCUAUAAUAGUCCUUGAUGUAAUACGAAAGUAAGUGAUUAUAUACAAUCUGUGGUUCGUGGAGGAUGGUACAUCUGCUCCAAACAAAAACAUGGAAAUAACUUAUUUCAGAAAUAUAAAAUACAUAUAGCCAAGUAAAAAA